UACGGGGGGGGUAAGCGUUGUCCGGAUUUAUUGGGCGUAAAGAGCGUGUAGGCGGCCAAGCAGGUCCGCUGUGAAAACUCGAGGCUCAACCUCGAGACGUCGGUGGAAACCGUUUGGCUAGAGUCCGGAAGAGGAGAGUGGAAUUCCCGGUGUAGCGGUGAAAUGCGCAGAUAUCGGGAGGAACACCCGUGGCGAAAGCGGCUCUCUGGGACGGUACUGACGCUGAGACGCGAAAGCGUGGGGAGCGAACAGG
rnacentral:rRNA from 1 species